CCUCCAGACUCCUACGGGAGGCAGCAGUGGGGAAUAUUGCACAAUGGGGGAAACCCUGAUGCAGCGACGCCGCGUGAGCGAUGAAGUAUUUCGGUAUGUAAAGCUCUAUCAGCAGGGAAGAAAAUGACGGUACCUGACUAAGAAGCCCCGGCUAACUACGUGCCAGCAGCCGCGGUAAUACGUAGGGGGCAAGCGUUAUCCGGAUUUACUGGGUGUAAAGGGGGCGCAGACGGCAGCGCAAGCCAGGAGUGAAAGCCCGUGGCUUAACCACGGGACUGCUCUGGAAACUGUCCAGCUAGAGUGCAGAAGAUGCAGGCGGAAUUCCUAGUGUAGCGGUGAAAUGCGUAGAUAUUAGGAGGAACACCGGUGGCGAAGGCGGCCUGCUGGACUGUAACUGACGUUGAGGCUCGAAAGCGUGGGGAGCAAACAGGAUU
rnacentral:rRNA from 1 species